GAUGAAGAACGUAGCGAAAUGCGAUAAGUAAUGUGAAUUGCAGAAUUCAGUGAAUCAUCGAAUCUUUGAACGCACAUUGCGCCCGCUGGUAUUCCGGCGGGCAUGCCUGUUCGAGCGUCAUUUCAACCCUCAAGCUCUCCGGAGUUUGGUGUUGGGGCGCCUGGGGCUUUUCGACCUCAGGGCCCUCAAGUCCAUCGGCGGGACCGCCAGGACACUGAGCGCAGUAGUAUUAUUUCGCUCGGUAGGAUCUUCCACGGCGGGUCGAUCUGGCCGCUAAACCCCCCAAUUCUCACCAAAGGUUGACCUCGGAUCAGGUAGGUAUACCCGCUGAACUUAAGCAUAUCAAUAAGCGGAGGA
rnacentral:misc_RNA from 1 species